UCCUCCACUAGUCCACCGAUUUGAUUGUGAAAACACUCUAGCAGGUAAAUAUCUCCACUCCUACUAUUUCAUCCUCUUACACUUUGUAUACACCAUCAUGUCCACCAUCAAAAUCUGCACAUCAUCAUCAGAACUACAUGAAUCUCAACAUAAAAAAUCAAAUCUUUUGUUUAUCAAUUCAUUUCCUAGUUGUUGUGUUCAUCAAAAAAUCAGUUAUGUUAAACAAUUUAGGGUUUGUAGAUUAUCCUCAACAGACUCAAUUGAUACUACUAUUGAUAUGAAUGAUGAGAUUAUUAGAAAGAAAGAAAGAAGAAAUCUGUGGAUGAGAUAUCGUGGUGUAAAGAAAUUGGAUGAGAAACAUGUUUUAAGAGAUGAGAAAAAAAAACCCUCUUUUGUAUAUAAAUAUAAUAAUGGGGUUAUUGAUGAUGCUUUAGAAUCUUCUGUUGAUAAUGUUUCGAUGGAUUCGACUGUGGGGCAUUGUAAUUCUAUUUUGAAACAGCUUGAAUGUUGUAAUGAUGAUAAAGCUUUGAGCUUUUUUGAAUGGAUGAGAAUUAAUGGGAAGUUGAAAGAUAAUGUUGUGGCAUAUAAUGUAGCACUUAAGGUAUUGGGAAGGAAGGAGGAUUGGAUGGCGGCGGAGGGGUUGCUUCAACAAGUGAUUAGCGAUUCAGGGAGCCCACUUAGUUUUCAGGUUUUUAAUACACUGAUAUAUGCUUGUUUUAGGAAGGGGUAUGGGGAUUUGGCAACAAAAUGGUUCCGCUUGAUGUUGGAAAACGGGGUUCAGCCGAAUGUUGCUACAUUUGGUAUGUUGAUGAGUCUUUAUCAGAAGAGUGCUAAUGUGGCUGAUGCAGAAUUUGCAUUUGAGAAAAUGAGGGGAUUUAAAUUGCAAUGUCAAUCGGCUUACUCGGCUAUGAUUACUAUAUAUACCCGUCUCGGGUUAUAUGAUAAAUCAGAAGAGAUAAUUGGGUUUAUAAAAGAAGAUAGGGUGGUUCCGAAUUUGGAGAAUUGGUUGGUUCAGCUGAAUGCUUAUAGCCAACAGGGAAAGUUAGUGGAGGCUGAAGGGGUAUUGAAGGAAAUGAGAGAAGCUGGGACUUCACCAAAUAUUGUUGCAUAUAAUACAUUGAUCACUGGUUAUGGCAGAGUUUCGAAUAUGGAUGCUGCACAACUUCUAUUUCAUAACCUCGCAAAUGUUGGAUUGGAAGCUGAUGAGACAAGUUACCGGUCUAUGGUUGAAGGUUGGGGUAGAGCAAACAAUUAUAAGGAGACAAAGUGGUACUAUGAAAAACUUAAAGAAGCAGGUUUCAAGCCUAACUCCUCGAAUUUUUUUACUAUUAUAAACUUGCAAGUAAGGAAUAAGGAUGACGAGGGGGUCAUAGCGACUCUCAAUGAUAUGAGGAGGAUGGGGUGCCAAUAUUCUUCGAUCAUUAGUAGUGUUGUGCAGGCUUAUGAGAAGGUUCGAAGGGUAAACAAAGUGCCGCUAGUUUUGAGAGGUUCUUUCUAUAGUCAUGUUUUGGUCGAUCCAACUUCCUGUUCAAUUUUAGUCAUGGCGUAUGUGAAACAUCAGUUAGUUGAUGAUGUUUUGCAAAUUCUAAAGGAAAAGAAAUGGAAGGAUAACAUAUUCGAGGACAACUUGUACCAUUUGUUAAUUUGCUCCUGCAAAGAGUCUGAUCAUCGCGAGGAUGCAGUAAGAAUAUUUACUCAGAUGCCCACAUUUGAGGGAGACCCUAAUUUGCACAUAGCUUGCACAAUGAUAGACAUCUAUGGUUUCAUGGGUCGAUUUAAUGAAGCAAAGGACCUUUAUUUGAAGCUGAAAUCGUCGGGUAUUGCUUUGGAUAUGGUUACAUAUAGCGUUGUUGUGAGAAUGUAUGUCAAAUCUGGAUCACUAAAAGAAGCUUCUUUGGUUUUAUAUGACAUGGAGAAGCAGAAGGAGAUUGUUCCAGAUGUUUUUCUGUUCCGUGAUAUGCUUCGGAUUUAUCAACAGUGUCGUAUGCAGCAAAAAUUGGAAGAAAUAUAUUACCAGAUUUUGAAAAGCGGUAUUGCAUGGGAUCAAGAAAUGUACAACUGUGUUAUAAAUUGCUGCUCGCGUGCCUUACCUGUGGAUGAGCUUUCUAGGGUUUUCGAUGAGAUGCUUCAACGUGGUUAUGCGCCGAACACUAUAACUGUUAAUGUUAUGCUUGAUAUGUAUGGAAAAGCAAGGCUCUUCAAGAAGGCUAAGAAAGUAUUUUGGAUGGCCAGAAAACGGGGCCUAACUGACGUGAUCUCCUACAACACUAUUAUAGCUGCUUAUGGUCGAAACAAAGACUUAAAGAAUAUGAAAACUACUGUUAAAAAAAUGGAAUUUCAUGGGUUUUCGGUUUCCCUUGAGGCUUACAACUGUAUGUUAGAUGCUUAUGGGAAAGAAGGCGAAAUGGAAAAAUUUAGAGAUGUGCUGCGGAGGUUGAAAGAAUCAAGUGUUGUCUCGGACCAUUAUACGUACAAUAUACUAAUCAAUAUCUAUGGAGAGAAAGGGUGGAUUGAAGAAGUUGCAGAGGUGCUGGAAGAACUUCAAAAAUGUGGGUUAGGACCUGAUUUGUGCGGUUACAAUACAUUAAUAAAAGCAUAUGGACUUGCAGGAAUGGUUGAAAAGGCAGUUGCUUUGGUAAAGGAAAUGAGGGACAGCGGAAUUGAGCCAGAUCAAAUAACCUACUCUAAUCUGAUUGCUGCUCUUCAGAAGAAUGAUAAUUUCCUCGAGGCUGUUAAAUGGUCCUUGUGGAUGAAACAGACAACCAUGGAGACUUCAAGAUGCUGAUUUUCAUUCUCGGCAGCCGGGCAGGGUGCACCUCUUUUUUGCAUUGUCUGAAGUUCUAAAUAAUACUAUUGGCUUCUUAUUGUCUAGAAAAUGGCUGUAAGGGAGCUUUGGGUUUAUUAGCACUUGCACCUAUAUUGU